rnacentral:misc_RNA from 1 species
AAAAUCGAUCUCCGAUUUCUCUGCAAUUUUCCCUUUAAUUCUUCGAAUCAACGCUCGAUUCGUUCAAUUCACGGUCUCCUCUUUUGAUCGACACCUCUUUCGAUUGUGGCCGUUGAUUUUGCACUUUUCUAGGGUUAGGGUUUCGAGUCUUGUUCUCGUCGGUCCUCUAAUCUCUUGAUUCCUUAUAGUUUUUCGAUAUCCUCUGUGUAUGCCUUAAUUUCCCCAUCAAUUCUCGGUAUAUUAUUGUAGAUUGUUUCGUUUGUCUUUGAUCUUUAGGG